GGGGCGGAGUCCUGGUCUCACCUGGUUCACCUUCUUAAAGACACAGUAGGGCAGGAAGGAAACUUGUUAGACAGGUAAUAUAAACUUCAAAAGCCGGAGGCGUCUUCACCGGAAUGAAAUUGCGAGCGCCGCCUAGUGGGUGGUCUUGGGAAUUCACGGACCCUUUCCUAAUUCUAAUUCCAAACCCAAACUAGUCUUAAUUCAGUCUUUAAUUCAGCUCCGACUUGAAUUACACCCUUAUAUUUCUCCCUCUCCUUUUAUGCAGGCCAUAGAACUUUAAGAGACACUCUCAUCCUCACAAAGGGGAGGCUUAGCUGACCACAAUACAAAGCGGGGUACAGCCUUAGCGGAGCCCCUGUUUGGUUAGAAGAGGAAGCCAGCCCAGCCAGCCCAGCCAGCGGAGCACACUAGGAUACAGCAAAAUUACACCCUGCCAAGAUCAAGGUUUUGUAUGUUCAUAAGGCUCUGGAUAAAAUGCAACCUACAUCAGCAGGAGGGUAACCCGGAAGGCAGUGGAGAAGCUUUGGAUCUGAAUCACAUGGGCCUUGGAGAAGAGGAAACUCAGACCGAAGAAUGGAUGGAAGCAGCCCUGAAGAGGGCCAUGGGCUUGUCUUGAGAGUCAGUGAGAGAGAAAAAGGGGGUCAAAUGGGAAUUUGCCCAGGGCUCAGCAUUCUUUCCUGCUGUGUGUUUAGAUAGGAUACUUUAUCCCCACACUUUUCUUAUCCCUGUUCUUAACAGAUCUUACACCAAAAAAAUAAAAAUAGA